GGUUGUGGCUCAGUGGUAGGGCACUUGUCUAGCAUGUAUGAGGCACUGAGUUUGAUCCUCAGCGCCA
rnacentral:tRNA from 1 species